ACGGGUGAGUAACACGUGAACAACCUACCCUUGAGUGGGGAAUAACACCGCGAAAGCGGUGUUAAUACCGCAUAAAAUCUUUGGGUCGCAUGACUUGGAGAUCAAAAGCGCAAGUUGCUUGAGGAGGGGUUCGCGGCUGAUUAGCUAGUUGGUGAGGUAACGGCCCACCAAGGCAACGAUCAGUAGCCGGCCUGAGAGGGCGAACGGCCACACUGGAACUGAGACACGGUCCAGACUCCUACGGGAGGCAGCAGUGGGGAAUUUUGCGCAAUGGGCGAAAGCCUGACGCAGCAACGCCGCGUGGAGGAUGAAGGCCUUCGGGUCGUAAACUCCUGUCGAUGGGGACGAAGGCCUCGCGAGAGGUUUGACUGUACCCGUUGAGGAAGCCACGGCUAACUCCGUGCCAGCAGCCGCGGUAAUACGGGGGUGGCAAGCGUUGUUCGGAAUUACUGGGCGUAAAGGGCGCGUAGGCGGCCUGGCAAGUCAGAUGUGAAAGCCCCGAGCUUAACUUGGGAACUGCAUCUGAAACUGCUUAGCUUGAGUCCUGGAGGGGGUAGUGGAAUUCCCAGUGUAGCGGUGAAAUGCGUAGAUAUUGGGAGGAACACCUGCGGCGAAGGCGGCUACCUGGACAGUGACUGACGCUGAGGCGCGAAAGCUAGGGGAGCGAACGGGAUUAGAUACCCCGGUAGUCCUAGCCGUAAACGAUGGGCACUGGGUGUUGGGGGUAUUGAGUCCCUCGGUGCCGGAGCUAACGCGAUAAG
rnacentral:rRNA from 1 species